GGCGAGCGGGCGGGCGGGCAGACGCGGAGGCGGGCUCCGGGAAGGGGCGGGGCGGGGCGGGGCGGGGCGCGGAAGGACCGCGGGUUGGGGGCGGGGGCCGCGUCGGCGCGCGCAGGGUGGCCUCGCCUGUGAGUCUGCGCGUCAGGGCCGCCGGCCUCGCCUUGGCUGUUGGAGGUGAUAGGGGUCGGGGGAAGGGAAAUGGAGGCUGGCCUCGGUUCCCCUUCCGACUUCUCUGUAGCCAACCCCUUCCCCCGGGGGCGAGUGAGGAGGAGAUAAGUAAAGAGAUCAAACACCCAGUUAGGAGAAGGAGGCAAGCCCGCGGUCGCCCUCCCGAGGAGGGCUCCGAGCCUGCGGCCGCGGGAGGAGGUUCCUCGGGCCGCGGAGGGCCGGCCCCAGCGCGGGCGGGCCCGGGGCGGGGGAGGGGAAGUGAGAGGUUGUUUAUGACCAGGGACUAAUCUCCGCGGGUCACACCGCUCCCGCUGGGGAGUGGGGACCAGGGGCAAACCUUGCCCGCAGUCUUGCUCGGCCUUGGGGGAGCGACCAGGGGUGAGGGCUGGGCCCGGAGCAGACCAGGAGCCCUGUCGAUGGCGGACCCACGAGAAAGGACACCCACCGUUUUCCUAACGCAGCCCUAAAAGGGCCUGGGGGAAGACUCCAGUAUCCAUAAACAGGCUGUUACCCGUCUCAGGGAAAAAUAACCGGUGUUACCCGAAGAAAUACCUUUCUCGAGCCGUGUUUCCCCAGGGCCAUAUAAGAUCAAUUUCAGAGCUAAAAGGGACCUUAGCAAAUCAUAACCCAUUACUCCUAUUUUUAAAUGGAAAAGCUGACUUCGGGUUGCCCAGGUGACACAGACGGGUUCCCCGUUGUCGUGCCAGCGCUCUUUCCUUUCACCAUAUGCCGUCUCUCAGCGUCGUUCCAAGUACUCUGAGGGAAGACACCCUCGGUUGUGGAAACAAGCCCCUGUCAUCGUGCCGGAAGUAGUGAGUCCUCUCCUAAAGGUCCCAGGAAAACAGUUUCCUCAAAUAUACUCGUUGAAAAACUGAAGACAUUGCCUGAGAUGCAAGUUGAAUUAAGGACAUAGAACCCUUAGAAGACCAUAGGUUCUCCCUGAGAAGCACAACACCAAUUAUGUGUUAAAUACUAUGGGGCCUGCCCAGUGGAGCAGCGGUUAAAGUUCGCUUUCCGCUUCAGCGACCCUGGGUUCACCAGUUCGAAACCUGGCUGUGGACCUGCGCACCGCUUGGCAAGCCAUACUGUGGCAGGCAUCCCCCAUAUAAAGUAGACGAAGCUUACAAUCUGACUACUGGAGGCAGAGAUUAGUAAAUACAAUUUGCAUACCGUGGGCAUGCUGUAUAACCUGGGAAGCCAUAAAAUGGAAGACACAGGGACUCUCAACGUAUGGAGGAAAUCUGCCUGACAACCAAGAACACCCACCCUUAAGAGCAAGAAAUAAACUUGUCGUGUUUGAG
rnacentral:lncRNA from 1 species